rnacentral:rRNA from 1 species
GUGAGGAAUAUUGGUCAAUGGACGAGAGUCUGAACCAGCCAUGUCGCGUGAAGGAUGAAGGUCCUAUGGAUUGUAAACUUCUUUUGCAGGAGGGUAAAGUGAGCUACGUGUAGUUCAUUGCAAGUACCCUGCGAAUAAGCAUCGGCUAACUCCGUGCCAGCAGCCGCGGUAAUACGGAGGAUGCGAGCGUUAUCCGGAUUUAUUGGGUUUAAAGGGUGCGUAGGCGGACUAAUUAGUCAGCGGUGAAGUUUUGCGGCUAAACCGUAAAACUGCCGUUUAAACUGUUAGUCUUGAGUGCGGUAGAGGUAGGCGGAAUGUGUGGUGUAGCGGUGAAAUGCUUAGAUAUCACACAGAACACCGAUUGCGUAGGCAGCUUACUGGAGCGCAACUGACGCUGAGGCACGAAAGCGUGGGGAUCGAACAGGAUUAGAUACCCGGGUAGUCC